AUCCCCGAGGCGGCCCUGCGCCCGGGCGCGCCGGCUGGGGCUCUGGCGCUCUCGCAGGCCCCGAGGCCGACAGUCCCGGCGAGGGCGGGCGCCCCGCGCUCCAGCACCGGCUGCCUGAGCGCUCCUGGAGCAGCAAACCCCAGACUUCUUCCUCCUUCUCUCCUUCCUUCCUUCCCCCUCCCCUUAUCUUUUUCUUUUUUUAGUCUCUUUCUCCCUCUUUUUCUGCCCUGUGUCCUUUUUAUUUUUUCUCUACGACUGUUUUUGCAAGUUUGUUUCAAAAGUUCACAGCAUGCUUUCUUUUCUUUUAGACCGGGAGACAGUGAUCUCACCCACACGGUAAGAUCAAAAGUCUCCGCUCGCCCAGCCUGCGGGCUUGGGCUGGGUCCAGACGUCUCCCAGGAUGCAGAUGCGCCGCCGCUGGCCUCCCCGGCUAUAAAGCCGCCUCCAGCGCCUUUCCGCGCGCAGGAGCGCUCGGAGUUGUGGGGUACGGACCCCAGGCGGGGCAGGGAGUCCGAGGCGGGCUGCGGCGGGGCUCUCGGGCUGGCGGACUCGGGGGCUGAGGCGCCGUGCGCGUUGGGUGCCCGCGGCCGCAGAGGCCAGAACCGCUACUCCUCCAGGCCGGGGAGACGCGGCCGUGGAGCGUGAAACGCUUCUUGCAAGCGAGGAAACGGUGAGUUGGCCGACACCGCCGGCGGCCUCACCAUUCUGGUGGCCGCGCUGAGCUCCUGUCGCCUGGAGGCGGGUUGCGCCGCACGGGGUCAGCUCCCGCCGGCUCCCAGCUCACCUUCGAAGCUCCCACUUAGGCGCGCCCGGUGCGGCGUGUGCACAGCGCGGGGCGCCGCACACGGAAGCGUGUAGUUCUCCCUGGUCGCGCUUUUCUCCUCCUUUCCAUCCCCUCGCUGUUCUUGCAAACCUCUGUUCCUUCGGCCCCCUCCCACUGCGGGCCGCGGCCUGAACUCGGGUCUCCGCGUAGCCGGCCGCCGCCGCUGGGUCGCUGCCUGGCCCUCCCCCGCUCAGGCGCCGAGCGCUGUGCGAUCCGCCCUAACAUCUGUCCGUCCAACCAUUGGCGCAUCCAUCAGUGUCAAUGGGCUGCACAUUGCAGCGACAGCCCGCCACGCACAACACGGGCUAUGCGGAGUGCACGCAGCAACCAUACUGCCAUGUCGGGACACGCAAAAAGGCCCCCGGCCUGGCUUGGCACAGCCUGAAGGCCUAAUCUGUGUUCUUUCAGCCACAUGUACCCACCCCCACUUAAUAUCUGGACCCCCAAACAUGAAUAGUUUUGCAGACCAUUGUAGGGAUGGAAUUGAAGGAAGAGGGGCAGUGUCGCCCGAGUCAUUAUUUUCCACCAGGUUUUCUCUGCCCUUGUGUGGGCUGGGUGUGGCUAGGAGAGAAGGAAGGGAGACUUCCCAAAUCCGCACCAAGCACACUGCAGAACCGGAAGCUACCUGGAUGCAAGGGCUUAAACCCCCUUCACCUGGGCCUAGGAUGUGUUGUCGAGGUCGCUGGCCAGGUUUUAGCCAGGAGGUCUCGCGCUAAAACUUUUUGGCCCCGCCUGGCUGCUGUGUGUGACAUGGCCUGAUGGAGAGGAGCUGGAGAGCGGAGGAAAACGUGGAUCCCAGUGAGAACUAAGGGCCAGAUUUAGGGAGAAAUAGUGUCUGGAUGGCAGUAAGUCUGUAAUUCACAUUUUGUUUACAAAGGGAGAAAGGGCAGGGCUGUAGGUUUGAGAAGCCAGAGGUUUGCGCGGAGUUCCGUGUGCCCAUUCCCCGAGAGUGCCGCUCUUGGCUGUAGUUGUUUGUUCUACCUGAUUUUGCCUCUUGCCUUCAACUCCCCCAUAACCCCUCCCCAAAUGUCCAGAGGGCAAACAUAUGCGCAUACCUCCCUGAUCAAUCCAGCCAGACCAAAGGGCCUUCCCUGUCCUCCCCCUAAGAACUUAAUGGGAAGAGUGUACGGGGGACCUACUCUUGGGACAUCUGCAGGGCGGCUGUACCAGGCGUUUUACCUGACUUUAUUCUUACCGCAAAGAUUUCCGUCUCGGUACCUGGUGCCCCCUCAGAGUCCACUACACAAACGGGUAAAAUCCCGCGCGGCUAUUCAUUUCGCCAUUCGCGAGUAAGAAGGGGAAAAGGAGCCGCUUCUAGGAGAGCACUGAGGUAUGCUCGGUUCGGUUCCCGAGGAGGCCAGAAGCGGCCGCGGCGGCGCGGGCUGGAGCUCCCUCCUGCAGGGAGACACCGCGCUCUAGGGUGCGGGCUUCGCCGCCCACAUCCAGUGGUCGAACUGUUUUCACGCUAGACUAGAGGGCGGAAAAGUCUGCGCCCGCGGAGAAACUAGAAUUCUGUAGAAUGUACACUGUGUAGAAAUCUUUUCACCCCACUCUUCAGAGUUGCAGAUUAUCUUUGAAAAACAACAGGCUCUGGCCCUGCCAGCCCUAGUAACUUCUACCCGCCUGAGUCACUCUGAAAAGUAAGCCCCUAGGCCAGUGAGAUGUCCCCACCUUUGGGAGGUGCCGCCUUUCCGGGAACAUUAAAAAAAAAACCCUAAAAAUAGAAGGAGGAAAAAUGAGCAAAGGCGGUGGGACGACUCACCGAAACACCGAGGUGCAAAUGUCCAUUGGAGAAACUGGCAGUCGCAUGGCAGCCAGCUGGCUCACCCAAUAGCUGGGUGGUAACCUUGUGAUCCCCAAACAUCCCCCAGGGCCAUGAAGGCAGUGCUGACCCCCACGAUUGCACCUCAGGCCCGGUGGAAUCCCGCUCCUCCUCCAUAGUGGUGCUAUGUAAUCAGUAGAAAAUCAGUAGAAAAGCUCCCAAAUGAAGCUGCUUCAGGUCAGGGGUUAGAAAUCUGCCUCAGACUUUUUGAACUCAAGGAAAUCGGGACAUCUGUCCCCAGAGCUACCUGUGCCCCACCCCAGGAUCAUUCAUGACCUUAGCUACCGGGAGCUCUGCCCGGAUAAGUUUUUAAAAGAGAGAGAGAAAGAAAAAAGUCACAUGCAGGCAAGGCUAGGAACAGGUGUGUGCUGUGGGGACGGGCACUUGGCUCGCAACACACCACACAAAGUCACGAAGUCUGUGCCAGAAAGGAGUAGCCAAACCACCGCCGGGAGGCAGCCGAGGUUGUGUUUAAGGUGGCGAUUGAGGGCAGUAGGUGACAACUCGACCCAAAGAAGGCCAAGUCUUGUCCUUAUCUGGGGUGGCCACUGAGGGAAAAGACUUAAGGGAAAGAAGUUGUCUUCAAAGCUACCAUUACAAGAUGAGGAGCUAGAGUGGGCUCAGGUCCCAGGCACCCAGGGCUUAAGCCUUGAUGUUGGAGAGGUUCUCGGAGGGAGGCUUGGGCCACCUGGAGGGACUGGGCACUCUGAGUAGUACCCUCUGGGAGGCUGUACCCCCUUUCAAAGUGUGAGGGCAUUUGCCCAAGGUGUAGGCUUUUAGGGAGCCCAGGGCUGGGCAGCACCAGGGGAGAGAGGCACCAGGUGGGUGCCCUCCUGCCUGCACUCACCUGGAAUGCUGGCAUAUGGGUUUUUCGCCUUCCUCACGCCUCCCCACACCACAUUCUGGGCUAGGCAGUGUCGAGGAGGUGCCUUGGGUUCAGGGAAGCUUGCCACCUGCACACCUGAACCAGGAAUUGGGCCCCGGAAUCUCAGCCCCUGCCCAAGCAGGAAGGAUAGGGACCCUGGCCCUCGCCAGGUGGUAAAUUGUUUGCUAAAAGUGCAUUUACACGGCGGCGAAGUUUGUUUCUCUUUUACCGGUAGCUUUGUUUUAACGAACCAGAUGUUUUGUCUGUAAAUUCUCCCAAGAACUUUUCCAGUUUUGACGUGAAAUAAACCUUCGAAAAUCAGAAGAGUAUAUUAAUACCACUUCUGUGGGGCCUCAGGAGAGCUGAGUCAGGUGUGCCUGGAUGGGAGCUGGGGGUGGGAGUACAAUCUUUGGAGAGAAGUAGGGGGCUUCUCUUGGCCCAAGGUCAAGAAUUGGUUUGGGGGAGGUGAAGUGCCUCCCCGACUCCCAAAACAGGCGCACACACACGCAUUGUCACACCAGAGUACGCACUCCCAGCCCUCCUCCAACCAGGCAUAGCUUGCUACUUCGUAAAUUUCUUGUGGCUUGGGGCACAGAGAUGUAGCUCAACUUUGCAGACUGUGUCCACUGCAUGCCGCUGCCGUUUUCCACGAGGACCGCCUGACUGAAAGGCAAAGGGGCCUUCGAUCUUCUUCCCGGGGCAGCUUUGAUGCCUGAGUGUGCGGGGCCGGGGCCGGGGCCAGGGCAGAGCAGGGUGGAAGCUGGUGCCCCUGUCUGGCCCACCCUUAACUCCUGGGCACCACUCGAUUCGGGAGAACUUGGGGUGGAAGCCGACCUGGUCUAGGAAGCCACAGCCUGCAGGUCCCCCUCUCCAAUGCCUCAUUUUUUCCGAUUUAGGAUUUCCAGGCAGUUAUAAACACCUUAAAAAAAAAGACCCACUUAACAAUACACCUAAAAGAGGGAGGGAAGGAAGGAAGGAGUACGGUUAUCACAGGCGUGUGGGGAGAGGGAAACCAGGUCUGCCUAGAAACCCACCUUCUGGUCCUGUGAGUCAUAGCGGCCACUUUCUCGGGUUUCCCAAGACAGGAGAUGGCGAUUUUCUGCUCCCUCCCCUCUCCCCAAGCUUUCCAGUGCUCUGAGUCUCACAUCUUCAGAUACCUCUUUCUUCCUUCAUUCUCUUUCGUUCAAUCAUCUACGGAACUUUCAAAAACUUUUUUUUUAGGAGAGCGAAGAUUAAAUAAAGAAAAUAAAACGUCUUUGUAUUUCAGUCUAAGGAGGACAGAUGCACAUUAAACUCAGUUUGGAGCGCUUAACUCCAGGCGAAAUGCCCUUUUAUCAAAUCCCACGCGUCGACUUGGGUUGCGCUGGGAAUUUCACGAAUUCCUCGCUGCAGCGUGGCGUGGUUUACCCCCACCCCCACCGCCACCCCACUUUGGGUGAAAUGGAUUUUUGGAAACCAUUUAAGCAGAGCUAAAAAUAAGGGUGGGGGGAUCCCUACACUAGAGAUAGCUGCAGCCACCUAGGGGCUCACCCCUGGUCGGGAGCGAGCAGCUAUUUGCUAGUUGUAGCUCAGGGGUGCCCAACUCUUCCCGUGUGGUUGCGCCAGCUGCCCCGCACUGCAGGUAUCUGAAUCAUUACGUGGGCAACCUGAUGCGGCUCUGAACCCCAGCUCUUUGAAUGCUGGAAUCCUGAAGGAGGAGGAUUCCACCAGGUCUUAGCCGACCAGAUAGCCCAGCUUUCUGAGGCUGGUGACCUCAUUAACUGGCCAGGGAAUUUGCAAGACCAGGAAUAAUCACGUUUCCCAGUUCUUCUUUCCUACAUUGCUUUUCUCCUCUGUCUUCAACGUUAGGGUUUUGUGUUUGUCCCUAAAUUUACAAUUUACAAACGGGGAAGACGGAGCCUAAGUUUCUGCAGGGCAGGUACAAAAGAGAGGGACAACACUCUGGGGGCCUCAUUCUUUCACGUUUUUGUUUCUUGAAAUUUGAUGGAUAUCACCUUAGUUCGGCAAUAGGAGGGCCAGGGUGACUGGGGACAUGGUGGCCCGAAGGGUUAGAUAAUAUAGCAUGCAGGUAGUCUCUGAUCUCCAGGGCUUUGAUAACACCAAGAUUUUCCUCCUUUGCAGAGCAGUCCUAAAUUCUGCCUUCUCCCUUUUCUGCCGCCUCUUCUCUUUUCCCCAUUUCUUUCUUCGUUUCUUUUUCUGUUUUCUUUUUGUGUGCCUCUCUUCCAACAGUCCCUCCUCCACCUUUAUAAGACUUCUCAAAGGUUAUUUAUUUAAGGUCUACCAAGUGCUAGCCCCAAACAGGUCCAGUCCUUCUACCUGUGGCAAGACGGAGGCUGUUACCGCGUGCAAAUAGUGAGGGAACAAAGUAGUUUGGAGUUUUUUGCAGCUUUUUUAGGUGAGGGGAAGGGAGGGAGGUCAGAAAUAGGUUGACACUUGGUUUGAAAUAAAAGAGCAUGUUAAGAAGUUUCGAAGCUGCCAAUAAAACCCUUUAAGUGGCUUGUGAUUCAGUGCCUGGAGUUGCGGGGAUGGCAUUGGUAAAUGACUCUAAUGCCCAAAGAAAAAUAUUACAAAUGCCGCUGUCUCGGCCACCAAUCGGGCGCCGCUUUCCUGCGCGGGCGAUGGCUCCUCUCUGGCGCGGAGGGCACCCACAUUUGCAUGAUAAAUUGACCAGACUGGCGGCAGCCAAUGAAAUAUUCAAAUUAGGCUGGGUGGCGGUAGUAGGGGUGGAGUCCCUGGGGCUGCCCCUUGGCGCGGCGGCGGGAGCGGGCGCUACCACCUCUCCGUCAGCGCCCUCUGGAGGCGGGACAGCGCGGGCGGCCGCUCUGGCCCAAAAGACGAGAUGGGGGGUUGGGGGUUUGGGAUGCAAGGGGGUUUGGGAGGGGUGAUGGUGGGGUCUGGGUGGUGCUUCGCGGCCCCAGGAGGCUUUCCGGCUGGCCUCGUUGACUAGGCGUACAGCAGCGUCUCCGCAUGCCUCUUGCCCUUAAAAGUGUUGAUGGAUUGCAGAAGUGGAUGGUGACCCCAAGGAGGGGUUUCAGAAAGGCUCCAGCCUCCUUCGCCCAACCACCUUCUCUAGGUUCCCCUAACAAACCCAUCACUUAAGUUAAAAACGUGUAUUUGCUCUUGUUGACUUAGCUUUAAGACAAGAUUCUUGCCCACCGCAGACCACAUGGCCAGCUUUCCCAAAGGCCCUCUGAUAAUGAAAUGGUGGAGCAGAUAUAUCAAACUUUCCAUCUUGCCCUGAGCCAACGACCCUGCACCCUCACAGGCCAGGGCACUCUGGAGGGCACCCUGCCUGGAGCCCCAAACCUUGGGUAAGCUGUGGGAGCCUAGGCAGGGGCAGGCAGUGCCUGGAGGCUGGCUUCAGACGGCAGAACUUCUCACCUGGGAAAAUGCUUUCUGGAAGAAGCACCCAGGCCUCAAGGCAGCUCCAGUGAGGGGGCAAAAAGGGAUAUACAUAAGGCAUAAGGCGCUGGCCAUGGUUAGGUAGGUGCUCAGCCAGGAAGAUAGGGCAGAUUCACAUGGGGGAGAUUGGCUCGGUGAUGAGACCACUUCUGACUCCACCAGAACCAGGCCCAGCUCUUCCUGGAGGUCCUGACUCAACGGGGACUUUUGCAUGGGAGCCAAAGAACAGUGGAUGUCUCUUGUCCGCUGAUCAUCUCUUCCCUUCCCCCACCCCAUAUUCCAUCCCAUGCCAGAUCCCUAGGCUGUGCCUGUUAGAGCUACUGUAGCACCACAUGGACUUGCCUUUAAAGCAGAAUUUUUAGAAGUGCAGUUGCUUUUCUUUACUCUGCUGUGGGAUGCUGAACACCUUGUUCUUUCUCCAGCUCAGCAGGGCUUGGAGUUGGUUCCUAGCUAUCUCUGGGAAUGCUCGAUCCCCAUCUCUGUUACCAGCCAAAAGGGUCUGCGGGAGGUGGUCGGCACUCCAGUCAGCAGCCCUCUCAGUACCUCUUCCCCAGACAUAGUCAAAGCAAGUCAUUCAUCUGCAGCCAGUCUCCCCUGCCCAUUCACCAAGGAGAACCUGGGGAUAGGACCACUCAGAGCCUGGCCCAGGCUGGCUCACUAACUGUGUGUAAAUACACACAGCGGAAAGAGUAGGUGCUGAACACACAUGUGUGAGAGAGUGAAUUUUUACUCUCAAUCACCUUAUAUAUAUUAUCAAUAGUUUCAAAGUAUGUUGCCCAAAGGAUGUUAAUUCCUAAGAAGGCUUUUAUAUCGUUUGGAGUUUUGAGGAGUGUGUUGGCUGAAGAGAAGAGGGUCUGGCCCCAGUCUUGAUGGGAAUGCAUGGGGUAAACAGCUGGUGGCAGAGGUACAAAAGGGGCCUCUCUACUUUCUAAGAGAAUCUUCCAUCCUGGCUGAUUUUAGGACCUGGGGUGGGGUUCCCAUCAGGAGGAGGCCUAAGGAAGGAGUAGGACCCUUCCUAGAUGGCUGAGUCAACUUAUACGACAGGGCAGGGAAACCUAUCUUGGAAACCCGGGAGCCCUCCUUCCUCCUCCCCAUCCUCAGGCCUCACCUGAGACUUGAAAAUGGACCAGAGUCUUCCUCCAACAGUGAAAUUCGUUAAAGAGUCACUCCUGUCUAGAAUGUGCAGAAAUGCAAGCCUCUCUCUUUCUCUCUCUCUCUCUUUCUCCACCUUGAGGAUGCUGUAUCUAGAGCCCAUAUAGGGACAAGAAGGUAAGCAGUGAAAGCAGGAAAGAAGUAGAAGGCUGGCUGUCAUCCAGCUGUGCAUACAGUCCUAUCUCAGCUGAACUGUGCACGGUGAAUGAGGAAGUAAAUGACAGGUGAAGGACCAAGAGAGUGAAGCUAGUCAGUUUAUCUGAGGAGAUAGGUAUCAGUGAGUAACUGUAAGGAUCACACCCACAGUGGGUGUGCCCCGCAGAUGGAUAUAUGUGCAGCAAGCGGUACCUUGCGGGGGAAUGCAAGCUCCAACUGUGGUGCUGAGCCUCUGGCCCAUAAGUAACCCAGUGAGCCUGAGCAGGUCACUCCCUCUCUUUGAACCUUGUCUCCAUCUCUAAAACAGGACAGCUUUCUCCAUCUUAAACACCAAGUAGGAAUUCAUUGUGGAAACCUUCCAUCAAAAUUGGAGAUGCCUUGGAUGGACCCUGUGGUGGCUCAUGCCUGUAAUCCCAGCACUUUGGGAGGCUGCGGCAGGCAGAUCACUUGAGUCCAGGAGUUUGAGACCAGCCUGGGUGACAUGACAAAACCCUCUCUCCACAAAAAAUACAAAAAUUAGCUGGGCAUGGUGGCAUGCACCUGUAAUCUCAGCUACUUGGGAGGCUGAGGCAGGAGGAUCGCUUGAGCCUGGGAGGUUGAGGCUGUAGUGAGCCGAGAUAGUGCCACUGCACUCCAGUCUGGGCAACAGAGUGAGACCCUGUCUCAAAAAAACAAAAAAUAGAGAAAUAGAGAUGCCCCUUGAACCCAUGGGUUUUUGGGACUACAUUCUGGAAGCUUUCAGAGUCAGACCAGAGUUUGAAAGAGGCAUUGUGUCACUAGCCGUGUGCCCGUGGGCAAGUCACAGUAGAGUCUACUUCCCACGGCACUUGUGAGACUCAUCUGGGAUUAUGUGUGUCCAUGCCUUGGCAGAGAGCUUGGUGAAGAAUGUUAGUUGUCCAAUAAAUGGUACCCCAUUAAGUUGGUGUGCAGGGUGGCCACAGGGCCAGACCACCCUGAAAAUAAAGGCUUAUAUUUGGGCUGAGCCUGGAUGCACCUGAGAUUACAAGCAGGUGCUUAGAAUGUGGUGAAAAAGAAAGACAGGAGAGAAUGGCUGAAGGCAGCAUGCAGUCCACCUGACUUUCUGGGAAGAUUGGGCAUUUGCAGGGCUGAUAAGUCAGGUUCUUCCGGGCCUUUCUGUGAGCUCAUUAGAGGAAGGGGUCUGGUGACUGAUAUUUCUAUUUUCCCUGUUAGUAGCGACUGGAAUUUGCACCAUCCAGGUCAGAUGGAAAAUAGAAGGCGGGAAAAUCUGACAGUCUCAUUGAUUUGCUCUCUUUGCCAUCACCACUCUUGAGAGGAAGAAAUGUGACUUCAAACUUGCAAUUAGGAACCAGCCUGCUAAGGAGUCCUCUCGUGAGCUCCUGUGCUAUGCGGAGCACAGGCCCAUCUCAUCUCAUUUCCUAAGGAGGUAGGUUCAUUCAUGGUUUCAGCAGGAGCAGGCAGUGCAAACGUGUGACACCCGCCCGCAAAUAACUGCCAGAAAGGCCGUCCAAUGCUUCCUUCACAUUUUUGGUCAGAUCUCUGAAAAGAUGGCCAUUCUCCCAAUGUUUUAAAAGUAUUAACUUCCUUUCAAACAUCCUUUAACCUUUAAUGUUUUGUAACUUGAUGAAAAGGUCAUUUUGUGCUGAGGAUGCAGUUGUUCCGGAAUUGUUCAGCUAACGGGGUGAAUUCCAACCAAAUCCAGAAUUAUUUAAUGGGAUCCAACGCCCCGGCCACACGCACAAUAAGUGAAUAUUUUCCCAUAUAUGUCUGUGUACAGGUACAUGUACUUGUGCAUAUGUAUUUACAUAUUUGUAUCUAUGCAUGCACAUAUACUCAUUGGGACUUGGAUUCAAUGGACAUUUUUAGCCUUCUCACAAAAUGACUUAUCCUUUGCAGGAAAAUAGAUAUUAAACUUACUCUUUUGAACACAUUUUGCUAAAUAUUUGAUGGCAAUUAUUUAUGGUGCACUGUACUUAUUCCUGAUUUCUUACAGAAGGGGUUGGGUCAAUUUCUAAUUCAACAUUUCAUUGCUGUCUCUACAAUAAAUGCCUCCAGAAGCUUAGGAGAAUUGAGAGGUUUUUUUCCUCUCUCUUCUUUCACAGUGUGAGCUUUUUAACUGUCACUGGCUAGAGCAGUCCUUCUUCACUUUUACCUUCCUUAGCUGAUGUAUUCUUGGAAACAGAUGGCUGAGCAUGUUAGAUUUAUAUUUAAAAUAAGAGUAGAGUUAAUAGGCUCAAAUAAGAGCAGGAAGGUAUUUUCUACAAGGAAACUGCAUGAAGUUUAUGCCUGGACUCUGGAAGAUGUGUUAAUACUUUUACUUAUUCAAGAGGCAUUGGGUUGUGGUCUGCUAUGUUUCUUGCUCUGAUGACUGAGUUUUUAAGAUAAAGGCUCUCCGGGCAAAUAAGGAACAGUUGGAUAGAGUAGCUCACCUUAAGUCUCUAUAGACUCAUGUAGAGAACAAAUCUGAUCUAAACUGUGUAAAAAAAUGAGUAAGAGAACUCUAUAAGAUUAACACUCUUAUUAAACUUAAAAGAGAAAAUUGGUACUUUUUUUUUUUUUCUUAGACAGAGACUUGCUCUGCUGCUCAGGGUGAAGCACAGUGGCACAAUGUCGGCUCACUGCACUCACCUCUGCCUCCUGGGUUCAAGCGUUUCUUCUGCCUCAGCUUCCCGAAUAGCUGGGAUUGCAGGCAUGCACCACCACACCCAGCUAAUUUUUGUACUUUUAGUACAGACAGGGUUUCAACAGGUUGGCCAGGAUGGUCUCGAACUCCUAACUUCAAGUGAUCCACCUGCCUCAGCUUCCCAAAGUUCUGGGAUUACAGGGCACCAAAAAUUGGCACUUUUAAAAGGAGACAAGUUUUACUUAAAAGCAAAAGCCUUUAACAGGCCUUUGGCUGGAUUAAAUGAUAAUGAAGCGAAGCAAAGCUUGUGACCACUCUGUAGAGCCAUCCAGAUAGUCUCUCUUUGGGGCCAGAUCCUCUAGAAUGCAUGAUUUAGGGUCAUUCAUUGCACAUUCCUGGCUUCAGACUGGUUUUCUGAAUUUCCCUGCAAUCUGAUUUUUGUCUUCCUACAUUUCUGUGUGUGAGAUACAUCAAAAGGUAAAAGAAUGUGUGAAUCAUAUAGGUACGGUUUAAAUAAUACCUGCAUACACAACACUCAGUCACCUGAAACCCCCCGACACCUCCCAAUUCCAGUCCCCUCUCCUGGAGGCCACCUCUAUUUUUAAUUUUUGUAAUGAUCACUUCCUUGCCUUACUUUGUAGUUUUAAUAUUUAGAUGUGUAUACCUGGUCAUGUUCAUAAAUGAAAUCAUGUUGUAUGAAUUAUUUUGUGUCUUGUUUCUCUUACUCAGCAUUGUUUUUCGGACUUAACCAUGUGGAUUUGUGUUGCUGGUUCAUGGUCAAGGUUCUAGACUAUGAAAACAUUAGUUUCAUGAAAACAUUAGGAUUUUUUCCCCCCAAUUGUUUGGAUAUCAUGAAGAAUGCCGCUGCGAACAUGUUUGUUCCUAUGCCAUAACUCACAUGGGGAAUAUCUCCUAUUUAUAUAUAGUUAGGGGUGGGAUUGCUUGGUCAGAGUUUGCAUAUCUGCAGCUCUAACUGUUUUCCAAGAUGAUUGUGUCAAUUUUCACUCCCACAAGCAGUUUUUAAAGUUCCCAUUGUUCUACAUCCUUGCCAGCCUAUGAUAUUGUUAGCAAUGUUUCUUCGUAUUUGUAAUGUUUCCUAAUCUAGCGGCUGUGGUUGCUGUCUCACUGUGUUUAAUUUGCAUUUCCAUGAUUACUAAUGAGUUUGAGCACCUUUUUUAUAUCUGCGUGGUGAUCGGGAAUGCCUUAUUUGUGAGAUGCCUGUUCAAGUCCUGCCAUUAUCCGUUGCAUAUAUGUUUCACAUUAUUUCACCCAAGUUCUCUGUUGCCCAGGUUUGUUUCAGAUUGGUUUGGGACAGUGGAUCAGAUCAGAAAUGUUUCAGUGACAUCUCUCACUAUAUUUCCUAGGAUGCUUUUAUCUGUGAGAAAUACGACCCCCUGCUCACACUGGCUUAAGGAAAUUGGCAAGAGGUAGAUUAUGGCUCCAUUAUAUUAACAGGAAGCCAGUUUGCUCUGCCUUCUUACUCUUCGCUUCGUUUUCGGCAUAAUCUCAUCCUCAAGGUGUUUUAUCUUAUGAUUUCAAGAGGACCACAAAUGGCGAGUGGAACUAAUUGCUUCUUUGUCCACAUUCCACAAGGAAGAGAAUAAUAGAAAACUUUUCAUUGACCCAUGUAAUCUAAGUCAUACCCUUCAGUUUCCAGGGGCCACGUCCAUGAAGCAGGAGGCAUCUGCAGUGAAUGCCAUGCCCUGACGCCUUACUGAGCACUCCUAGUAGGACAAAAUGAGUACUGUAUGGGGAGGAGGCAACCUCAAACAACCACCAUGCUUACUGCCAAGCCUAUAGGAUAUUUUUAAAUUCAUUUUUUAAUUUGCAUAUAAUAAAAUGCAUUUUUUUGGGAUGCAGUUUUCUGAGUUUUGCCAAAUGCACAAAAUCACAUAACUACCACUGCCAUCAAGAUUUGGAACAGUGGCUAGGUGUGGUGGUGGCUUACACCUGUAAUCCCAGCACAUUGGGAGGCUGAGGCAGGAGCAUCGCUUGAGCCCAGGACUUCAAGAUCAGCUUGAGCAACAUAGUGAGACCCCAUCUUUACAAAAAACUUUUUAAAAAUUAGCUGGGCAUGGUGGCAUGUGCCUGUAGCCCCAGCUACUUGGAAGGCUAAGGCAGGAGGAUCACUUGAACCUGGGAGGUUGAGGCUGCAGUGUGCUGUGAUUGCACCGCUGUACUCCAGCCUGGGUGACAGAGGAAAACCCCAUCUCAAAAAUUUUUUUUAAAAGAUUUAGAGUCGUUUUCUUUUUUUUCUUUUUUUUUUUUGGACAGAGUUUGGCUCUUGUCGCCGGGGCUGGAAUGCAAUAGUACAAUCUUGGCUCACUGCAACCUCCACCUCCCAGGUUCAAGUGAUUCUUCUGCCUCAGCCUCCCGAGUGGCUGGGACUACAGGUGCCCAGCACCACACCUGGCUUUUUUUUUUUUUUUUUUUUUUUUUUUUUUUUUUUUUUUUAGUAGAGGCAGGGUUUCACCAUGUUGACAGGCUGGUCUCGAACUCCUAACCUCAGGUGAUCCACCCUUUUUGACCUCCCAAAGUGCUGUGAUUAUAGGCAUGAGCCACCGUGCCUGGCCUAGAAUAGUUUUCUUACUCCCCCAAAACUGCUUUAUGCUGCCUUUUUGUAGUCAAACUAUCUGCCUGCCCUUAACCCCAGCUCCCCCGCAUUAGAAACCACUGAACCUCUGAUCUGUUCUUCACCUUAAAGCUUUCCCUUUUCCAGGGUGUAGCGUAUGUGGAAUUAUAGAGUAUGUCACCUUUCAAGUCUGGCUUCUUUCAUCUAGUGUAAUGCAUUUGAGAUUUAUCUAUGUUGUCGGAUGUAUCAGUAAGUUUGUGUCUUAGCAGUGCUGAGAAGUAUUCCUUUGCAUGGAUGUACCCAGAUCUGUUUAUCCAUUCAUCAGUUAGAGGACAACUGGGUUGUUUCCAGUUUGGGGUGAUUACAAAUAAAGCCACGAUGUACAAGCACCUCUAGGUUUUGGGUGAACAUAAGUUUUCAUUUCUCUUAAGUUUCAAUACCUAGGAGAAUGAUUGCUAGGUCAAUGGUAAGAGCGUGUAUAAUGCUACAAGAAAGUGCUAAACUGUUUUCCAAAGUGAGUGUAGCAUUUUGUAUCCCCGCUAGCAAUGAAAUGAGAGCUCCGCUUGCUCUGUAAGAGGCAUUAGUGAAUAUGAAAGUGCUUUGUAAAGACUAAGGGUGUCUCACAGUGUGCCCAGGCGGGAGGAUUCAGAGGGGGCAUUUCUAAACUCUAAACUCCUGUGGGCUCCUAGCCCAUCCUUCUGAAUGGGGACAGAAUACUUCCAUUUCCAGGUUACUUGCUUCUCCAAAAGGGAGACAGGGAAGUAUCCUUCUCUUUUUGCAAAUGAGGGCACAGCACUGCCUCUCGUGGUUGAGCCAGUCAUUAUUCAGUAGGAACAGCAGUGAGAUUCUCCAGCCUUCUAUUUUAUUCCUGGGGUCACAGAGUAAAAUGCAGCGUGAUCAUUUGGAGCAUUCUUAUGCUUUGUGACAAGAACAAAGCCAGUGGAAACAGCCAUGUGUCCAAUCAGAAUGUCAGAGCUGGCAGGGACCUUAGCAAUUGUCACUUUACAGAUGAUAACCUAUUACAUCCCCAGGUCCCCAGAAUCCCAGCCCAGGACUCACUCCCUCAGCCUUCCUGGAUUGUCCUGGGUGGAACAAGAUCAGCUCAUUUAGCACAUAGUCUUCCAGAACACAAGGCAGUGUCCCACCAAGGUUGGAUGGGACCAGCUUCUCUAUCCACAGUAGCUGUGCACACAGAGACAGAAAUGAAGCCGUACUGCCGGGUGCACCGUGGCCAGAGAUCCUCCUUCCUGGUAUAUACUCCCGGAGCCAUUGCUUCUUUCAUUUCAGUGCCCAUUUCUGAGGCACCUUCACAUUUCAAACGUCCUGAGAAUAUGUUUAAUUAGAACUUGGCCAUACAGCCUUUUAAAACAAAACAGAAGGGACCAGCUAAUUAUAUCACUCAGCAUUCUGUGGCAAACAUAUAUUUUUUAAUAAAACACUUUCCUAACCAGAGUAAUCCCUGGAGAUGCAAAUCCUCAUUUAUAAGAAGUUUCCCAAAGGGAGUUAAAGAGAAGAUGCCUUAUAAAGAAAAGAGACAAAGAGAGUGGGGAAGUGUUUUCAAAGAGCUUUUAAAAGAUACACUCAUUCUGAGGUUGAAUUACAGAUAUUUUAAGGGUACCAAAUUUUAUUUCAGAUGUAAUCCUUUCCUGUGUUUUUGAUCAUGUAUUUCCGUUUUUUCCCUUUUUGAUCAUUGCCACAAAUGCCCAUAUUUCUCUUUCUGGUGUCUUUCAUAAGUGCAAUAUUUAAAUAAACAAGGGAUUUUCCCAAAAUGCACCUCAUCUCCUACUCUUUGUCAUUUCCUUGUCUUGCUCUGUAAAUAACCGUGUGUCUCACAGCAGAGCUUACACAGAAUGGAUGUGGGGCAGUCUGUGGUCCUGGGGAGGGCCUUCCCUGUAAUCUCUGCAGCCCAGGACAGGGAGAGGGAAGAUUUAGAUCCUGCUGCGGCAUGUCUUCAGGAGUGGAGGUCAGCUUGGGACAUUUACGUUCAUGAGGCAGCCGCAGAGGGUCAGAGCAAUAAUUGUGCCAGCUGAUGUUUGCUGCGGGGUUUACUCCAAGCCAGGCCACACGCUAAGAAAUUAGGUAUCGUACCUCAUUUAAUCCUCACAAUCCUCACAAAAUGUAGUUGUUUUGCUCCAUUUUGCAGAUGAAGAAGACGAGGCUUGAGAGACGAAGGAAUGAAUGAAGGGUCUCACAGCUGUUAGAAGGGUUAGAUCUUGUAUUUGGACUCAGGUCUGCCUGCCCUGGAACUUGACUCUCCCACACCUGGUGCUGGGCACACUAGGAGACGUCACAAGGCUCAGAGAUGCCACCCUUCCUAGAACGGGCGCCGUGCCUCUCUUCUCCACACACUGCAGGGGAGACAGGCACUGUGUUUUCAGAUAAGUUCCAUGUGCAUCAGGGGCUCGGUGGGAAAGGGAGGACACACUCAGAUUAGGAUUAUUCAUGGAGGAUUCUCCAAAGAGGCUAUUUGGAAAGACGGAGGGAAUGGUGAAGGAAAGCACAAGAGAAAAUGGACAGAACCGUUACUUCCUCACGCCUGAAGGGGAUGGGUUACUGGAAGCCAGGAGGAGAGUGUGAUAAGAGCCACUUUUAGAGGAGCUUUCACCUUCAGGAGAAAGUCAGGGCCCAAGAAGACCCACAGGGAGGUGACCAGGGAAUGGCAUACUUGGACUACCCUCUCUUCUGUUCCUCCACUCUCCUGCCAGGGCUCCACAUUGGAUAAACCCCUGCAGGGGCGAGUGAAACUGCCACCCAGGUUUGCCUCCCAGGGCACAGCCCAUGGAGAGCUCUAAGGCAAGUGGCAGAAAACUAGCACAGGUGCAGUGCGUCUUGCAAAGCACCCAGCCUAUGCCGGCCCUGGGCUAGAAAUGGGAAGAGAGGAGACCAUGGCACUGCCCUCAAAGAUCUUAGAGUCUGUGGAGGAGUCAGGCAGAGAGAGGGGGUGUUCCCUUGGCAAAGGACUCCAUGAGCAGAUGCAGGCCAUGGGCGACGCUCCUGCAGAAGCUUUGGGGUUUGCCGCAUGUGCCUGGAAGGAGCGCGCCCACCUUGACAUGCCUCGCCUCCUGUUGCCAUUGACAACGUGAAGGCAAACUCCUGGGGCUGGGCCUUUUUCCUUGAGAUAAAAUAUGUAUAAUUCUCUGUUAUCAAAUGAUUAUUAAACAAAAUCUAAUUGAAAAAAUAGAAAGAAGAAAAGAUAAGUCAUUUAUCAUCCUGUUCUCCAAAGACAACUGUGAACAGCUUGGUGGAACUCCUUCCAGUGGCUUUCCUUGGAGCUUUGCCUCUGUGGAUGUGGUAAGAGUCGGAUGCGAUUUUGAAUUUUGAGAUUUUGAUUGAGCAUUGUUGUAGUAUUUUGCCAUGUUAUGAUAAAUCAUUGGCAAACAUAGUUUUUGACGGCUGCAUAAUAUUCUGCAUAAUAUUCAUAAUAAUGAAUGCUAGUAUAGUUCAUAUUAUAAUUCUUCUACUGUAUUUAUUUAUUUAUUUAUUUUUGAGAUAGAGUCUUGCUUUGUCACCGAGGCUGGAAUGCAGUGGCGCGAUCUCAGCUCACUGCAACCUCCACCUCCUGAGUUCAAGCUGUCCUCCCACCUCAGCCUCCUUCAAUAGCUGUGACUACAGGAAAACCUUAAGACCUUUGUUGGACCAACUGGGGAAGAAUUUCUUUCCUGCUCAGGCUGCUCAGCUGAUAGAGUGCUGGCCUGGAGCAGCUGAAAGACACUUUGCUGCUUUCUGGAGAAUGAAGCCACUGGGAAACCACAUAGGAGGGAAGAGAGAGACAGCUUCUCGAUGAUGUCAUCUGAACACCUGGAUCCUGCUGUGCCUGGACUUGCAGUCCCAUUGUCUACCAAUAUAGUUCAUUGAAUUCAACUUCAGCUGGAUGUCAUUCAUCUGCUUCCAGAACUUGUGUCUAAUGCAGAGCUGAAUGCAUACUCUCAGAGUUGGAAGUGGAUGCAAUCCACAAAUCUAGCACCCAAAUUUCUUUUUUCUGUUCUUUUUUUUUUUUAAUUUGAGAUGGAGUCUUGCUCUGUCACCCAGGCUGAAGUGUAGUGGCGCAAUCUCAGCUCACUGCAACCUCUGCCUCCCAGAUUCAAGCGAUCCUUCUGCCUCAGCCUCCCGAGUAGCUGGAAUUACAGGCGUGUGCCACCACGGCUGGCCUAAUUUUGGUAUUUUUAGUAGAGAUGGGGUUUCACCAUGUUGGCCAGGCUGAUAUCGAACUCCUGGCCUCAAGUGAUCUACCCCCCUUGGCCUCCCAAAGUGCUGGGAUUACAGGUGUGAACCACCAUGCCCGGCCUCAAAUUGCUUUUACAGAGGCAAGUGGCCACCGAGUCUGUGAUUGGGAUCCUCCUGUGGAGACCUGUGGAGACUCGUGGCUCACUACCUUUGAAGGCAGUGUUAGGGUAAUCUCUCCACAUUUCCCUGCUGAAAGCUCUGAGUGUUAGUAAAUUCCUUCUCAUAUUAGCUAAAAUGUAUUUUCCUGUGCCUUUUAUUCACUGAUGGGGAAUACAAGCAUUCUUUUUGAGGGUGGCCAAUGCUAGUAAUUCCCUCCAUACAGUCAGUGAUGGAUAGAGUUAACCCAUGGUUGCUGCAUGUAGUACUGUCACUUGCUGUACCACCAGGACUCAAGUUGAUGCUCAACGCAACAUUCUUUUGCAGGGCCCUUGUCCUCAGUUUCCCUUCUUUUGGGGUGGGCUGAGAGAGACAGCUUAUUCAGCAUGAAGCUGUAGUAUCUACAGUUUAGCAAAUGUCUGCGGAGCCUUUAAAGCAGUUUUUAUCAUAAUAAAAAUAUUUUAACUUAUAACCCCAGAAAGAGAUAGGCAUGGGAGUCUUUAUACAGCACAGAAAUCCAGAUGAGCAUAAUUUGAAAGUCAUUUGAAUUGUAAUGAGUAUUUUUAAUGUAAACAGGCAGGAGGAAAAACUUGCUGGGUUCUCUUGUAGCACAGACACCCAGAUAUAUGUCUUUUGAUAGUGAUAUUAAAGUGUCAAGGGUGCAUAGGAGGCUGCAGAUGUCAGCGGCAUGAAUGGGCAAGGCAAUUUCUGUGGUUGCAGGCUGGAGGUUCCAGCAGGAAUAGAAAGGCAAUCUCUGUGCUAGAUGGCCCAGGGUCACUGCAAGUCUAGCUCCUAAAUGAAAAUCAGGGACAAGAUGUGGCCUGUAACCACAGUCACUGCUCUUCGUAAGGCUGGUGGAAAGGUGAACUGGAAAGGUUUUUAGGGUUAGGGAGAUACAGGAACUCCCAAACAUCAGGCACCUGAUAGCACUCUCCACCUAACAUCUGCAUUUAUAUUGACCUAAUGCAUCUGUUCAAUUUGUCUCAUUCUUUGUGCUCACACACAUUUAUUUGAAACAAAACUUUCCAUCAUUACUAUAGGUGAAAAUCCUUGAUCACUUGCCUUGAAUACAAGAAACCAUUAUUAAAUGCAAGCUAGAUAAUUUUGCUUGUCUUACAGCCAUGAGCCUUAAGUCUGUUCCCCCCACCCCCCCCCCCCCCCGCCUUUUUUUUUUGUUAAAAAGAUGAGCAAAAUGUGAGAAUGAUGCAAAAGAGAUCCUGGUACCAAAAGAAGCCUUCUAACUGGAUAUCAUCAGAGGGACAGAAAGAAUUAAAGUAUGGACAAAUUUCUCAAA
rnacentral:lncRNA from 1 species